rnacentral:rRNA from 1 species
GACGAACGCUGGCGGCGUGCUUAACACAUGCAAGUCGAGCGGUAAGGCCCCUUCGGGGGUACACGAGCGGCGAACGGGUGAGUAACACGUGAGCAAUCUGCCCUUCACUUUGGGAUAACUCUGGGAAACGAGAGCUAAUACCGAAUACGACCACUUCAGGCAUCUGAUGGUGGUGGAAAGUUCCGGCGGUGAAGGAUGAGCUCGCGGCCUAUCAGCUAGUUGGUGGAGUAACGGCCCACCAAGGCUUCGACGGGUAGCCGGCCUGAGAGGGUGACCGGCCACACUGGGACUGAGACACGGCCCAGACUCCUACGGGAGGCAGCAGUGGGGAAUAUUGGACAAUGGGCGAAAGCCUGAUCCAGCAACGCCGCGUGAGGGAUGACGGCCUUCGGGUUGUAAACCGUCUUUCAGUAGGACGAAGCGCAAGU